AGGACGAACGCUGGCGGCGUGCUUAACACAUGCAAGUGGAGCGACGAACCAGGGCUUGCCCUGGGGCAGAGCCGCGAACGGGUGAGUAACACGUGGGUUACCUGCCUCGAUGACCGGGACAACCCGAGGAAACUCGGGCUAAUACCGGAUGUGCCCGCAAGGGGAAAGGAAGCUUCGGCCUCCGCAUCGAGAUGGGCCCGCGGCCCAUUAGCUUGUUGGUGAGGUAAUGGCUCACCAAGGCUUCGAUGGGUAGCUGGUCUGAGAGGACGAUCAGCCACACUGGGACUGAGACACGGCCCAGACUCCUACGGGAGGCAGCAGUGGGGAAUCUUGCGCAAUGGGGGAAACCCUGACGCAGCAACGCCGCGUGGAGGAUGAAGCCCCUUGGGGCGUAAACUCCUUUCGAUCGGGACGAUUAUGACGGUACCGGAAGAAGAAGCCCCGGCUAACUUCGUGCCAGCAGCCGC
rnacentral:rRNA from 1 species